rnacentral:tRNA from 1 species
AAGGGGCUAGUCCAAAGAAGACCUCUGAUUUCGACUCAGAAAAUUAUGGUUAAAACCCAUAGCCCCCUU